rnacentral:rRNA from 1 species
UCCUGACUGACCGAUAGUGAACCAGUACCGUGAGGGAAAGGCGAAAAGAACCCCGGCGAGGGGAGUGAAAAAGAACCUGAAACCGUGUACGUACAAGCAGUGGGAGCACGCUUAGGCGUGUGACUGCGUACCUUUUGUAUAAUGGGUCAGCGACUUAUAUUCUGUAGCAAGGUUAACCGAAUAGGGGAGCCGAAGGGAAACCGAGUCUUAACUGGGCGUUAAGUUGCAGGGUAUAGACCCGAAACCCGGUGAUCUAGCCAUGGGCAGGUUGAAGGUUGGGUAACACUAACUGGAGGACCGAACCGACUAAUGUUGAAAAAUUAGCGGAUGACUUGUGGCUGGGGGUGAAAGGCCAAUCAAACCGGGAGAUAGCUGGUUCUCCCCGAAAGCUAUUUAGGUAGCGCCUCGUGAAUUCAUCUCCGGGGGUAGAGCACUGUUUCGGCAAGGGGGUCAUCCCGACUUACCAACCCGAUGCAAACUGCGAAUACCGGAGAAUGUUAUCACGGGAGACACACGGCGGGUGCUAACGUCCGUCGUGAAGAGGGAAACAACCCAGACCGCCAGCUAAGGUCCCAAAGUCAUGGUUAAGUGGG